rnacentral:rRNA from 1 species
AGAGUUUGAUCCUGGCUCAGAUUGAACGCUGGCGGCAUGCUUUACACAUGCAAGUCGAACGGCAGCACGGGGGCAACCCUGGUGGCGAGUGGCGAACGGGUGAGUAAUACAUCGGAACGUAUCCUUGAGUGGGGGAUAACGCAGCGAAAGUUGUGCUAAUACCGCAUAAGCUCUGAGGAGGAAAGCGGGGGACUGAAAGGCCUCGCGCUGGAGGAGCGGCCGAUGUCCGAUUAGCUAGUUGGUGAGGUAAAGGCUUACCAAGGCGACGAUCGGUAGCUGGUCUGAGAGGAUGAUCAGCCACACUGGGACUGAGACACGGCCCAGACUCCUACGGGAGGCAGCAGUGGGGAAUUUUGGACAAUGGGGGGAACCCUGAUCCAGCCAUGCCGCGUGAGUGAAGAAGGCCUUCGGGUUGUAAAGCUCUUUCGUGAGGGAAGAAAAGGUUUGGGAUAAUACCCUGGAUUGAUGACGGUACCUCAAGAAGAAGCACCGGCUAACUACGUGCCAGCAGCCGCGGUAAUACGUAGGGUGCGAGCGUUAAUCGGAAUUACUGGGCGUAAAGGGUGCGCAGGCGGUUUGUUAAGUCAGAUGUGAAAGCCCCGAGCUUAACUUGGGAACUGCGUUUGAAACUGGCGAGCUAGAGUCUGUCAGAGGGGGGUAGAAUUCCACGUGUAGCAGUGAAAUGCGUAGAGAUGUGGAGGAAUAUCAAUGGCGAAGGCAGCCCCCUGGGAUAAGACUGACGCUCAUGCACGAAAGCGUGGGGAGCAAACAGGAUUAGAUACCCUGGUAGUCCACGCCCUAAACGAUGUCAACUGGUUGUUGGGCAACUUGAUUGUUCAGUAACGAAGCUAACGCGAGAAGUUGACCGCCUGGGGAGUACGGUCGCAAGAUUAAAACUCAAAGGAAUUGACGGGGACCCGCACAAGCGGUGGAUGAUGUGGAUUAAUUCGAUGCAACGCGAAAAACCUUACCUACCCUUGACAUGUACGGAAGUUUGCUGAGAGGCAGAUGUGCCUGAAAGGGAACCGUAACACAGGUGCUGCAUGGCUGUCGUCAGCUCGCGUCGUGAGAUGUUGGGUUAAGUCCCGCAACGAGCGCAACCCUUGCUAUUAAUUGCCAUCAUUGAGUUGGGCACUUUAAUAGGACUGCUGGUGAUAAACCGGAGGAAGGUGGGGAUGACGUCAAGUCCUCAUGGCCCUUAUGGGUAGGGCUUCACACGUCAUACAAUGGCCGGUACAGAGGGAUGCCAACCCGCGAGGGGGAGCCAAUCUCAGAAAGCCGGUCGUAGUCCGGAUUGUUCUCUGCAACUCGAGAGCAUGAAGUCGGAAUCGCUAGUAAUCGCGGAUCAGCAUGUCGCGGUGAAUACGUUCCCGGGUCUUGUACACACCGCCCGUCACACCAUGGGAGUGGGUGAUACCAGAAGUAGGCAGUCUAACCGCAAGGGGGGCGCUUACCACGGUAUGAUUCAUGACUGGGGUGAAGUCGUAACAAGGUAGCCGAAGUCGUAACAAGGUAGCCGAGGUAGAGUUUGAUCCUGGCUCAGUAAGUCGUAACAAGGUAGCCGUAGAGUUUGAUCCUGGCUCAGUCGUAACAAGGUAGCCGUAGAGUUUGAUCCUGGCUCAGAAGUCGUAACAAGGUAGCCGA